AUUGAACGCUGGCGGCAGGCCUAACACAUGCAAGUCGAACGAGUGGCGGACGGGUGAGUAAUGUCUGGGAAACUGCCUGAUGGAGGGGGAUAACUACUGGAAACGGUCGCUAAUACAGCAUACCAUCAGCUGAGCCCAGAUGGGCUGAGCUUGUUGGUGGGGUAACGGCUCACAAAGGCGACGAUCCCUAGCUGGUCUGAGAGGAUGACCAGCCAAACUGGAACGGAGACACGGUCCAGACGCCUACGGGAGGCAGCAGUGGGGAAUAUUGCACAAUGGGCUAAAGCCUGAUGCAGCCAUGCCGCGUGUAUGAAGAAGGCCUUCGGGUUGUAAAGUACUUUCAGCGGUGAGGCGUUACCCGCAGAAGAAGCACCGGCUAACUCCGUGCCAGCAGCCGCGGUAAUAC
rnacentral:rRNA from 1 species